UGAGUGGAGCAGUCGAAUCUCAUCAUCACUCACCAUGAAGAUCUCACUCUCCUUAUUCCUGCUACUGAUCAGCUUCAGCAGUGUAAAAUGUGAAAGUCUCGAGUCGUUACAAACCACAGUGCUGAAGAAACCUGGAGAAACACUGAGUCUCUCCUGCAGAGGAUCUGGGUUUACUUUUGGAAGCUACCAAAUGCACUGGAUCAGACAGCAGGAGAACAAACCACUGGUGUGGAUGGGACGUGUCUAUACUGAUGGCAGCAGCACUGGUUAUAGUAAAUCAUUUGAAGGAAGAAUAGAAAUCACCAGAGAUAAUUCCAACAGCAUGGUGUAUCUGAAACUCUCUGGUGUGACAGCAGAAGACACAGCUGUGUAUUACUGCGCACGAACCACAGUAGCAGAAAUAUGAGGAAACACUGUACAAAAACAUCAGUGGUGCAGAUGAUUAAUUUCAU